rnacentral:lncRNA from 1 species
AAGCCGUAAGUCGAUUGUGAACUUUUGGUCUGUAUCCUUUGCAAGGAUUCCACAAAUUGGCUUGUCUCGACAUGACUCUGGCCAGUUAUUCACCGUUCGCCGCAUGGAGACAUAUGUACAUAUAUGUAUAUAUAUCGCUUAUAUUUACCCCGAAUGCGAGUUUCAAGCAGAUCUUUGGUCCCCGGAACGGCAACGGCUGAGAAGAAUCGACGGACCGGGAACCAAAAUAAAUGCGCAAUGCAUACAUGGAGCGCACAGCGGAGCGAGACGGCACUACAACGUGACAUUCCUUAAAUUUUUGUUUGUGUUCAGGGAACAUUAAAAAAUAUUUUUAUCUUGUGCAAAACCAUGAGGAAUCAACUUCUGAUGGGAAGAAUCCUUUUUUUCCAACUUGCUGCUGCUUGUGUGUCGCUUUGACGUUGCCGAC